rnacentral:lncRNA from 1 species
AGAUCCCCCCAGGGCUGUGGACGACUGGCACAGUGGGGUAAGUCCUGCUCCCCACAGCUGCUUCUGGGAUCCCAGACUGGGCCCAGAGUCCCCAUCCACAGAAGGGCCGGCAGGCCUGAGAAAGGACAGCCAGGUCGCCAGGGAGGGGAUGUGGCUCGCCCCCUUCUUCCCUUUCUCUGGAAGUGCAUUUACCUCCCCCCACACACAGGCGGGGUUGCAGGGCCCUUCCCAGCCAGACCCUGCAGUGCAGCUCUCUGGGAGGCCCCCCAGGGCAGUGGUUUCCUGGCUCUGUGCUUCCUAGGAUCCUGGAAGCCGACUGGGCUGGGGUUGGGGGGUGGAGCCCCAUGGGAGAAGGAUCUCCUGCAGGAAUGGCCUGGAUGGGGGCUUGGGGGUGGACAUGUGCCAGAGACACCUGGGUAACUUCAGGAGAGAGGAGGGAGGGGGAGAGAGGAGGGAGGGGGAGAGAGGAGGGAGGGGGAGAGAGGAGGGAGGGGGAGAGAGGAGGGAGGGGGAGAGGGGGGGAGAGAGGAGGGAGGAGGAGAAUAGGGGAUGGGAGAGAGGAGGGAGACGGUGAAGGGGAGAGUAGGGAGCCGGAGAGGAGAAUGAGGACAGGGGAGAAGAGGGAGGGGGAGAUGAGGAAAGGGGGAGGGGAGCAAGUGUGAGAGGAGGGAGGGGGAAAGGAGGGAAGGGGGAGAGGAGGGGACAGGAGAGAGGAAGAAGGGGGAGAGGAGUGAGUGUGAGAGGAGGGAGGGGGAGAGAGGGGAAAAGGGGGAGAGGAGGGAGGGGGAGAGGAGGGAAGGGGGAGAGGAGUGAGCAUGAGAGGAGGGAGGGGGAGAGAAGUGAGCGUGAGAGGAGGGAGGGGGAGAGGGGACAGGAGAGAGGAGGGAGGGAGACAGGAGUGAGCGUGAGAGGAGGGAGGGGGAGAGGAGUGAGCAUGAGAGGAGGGAGGCGGAGAGGAGGGGACAGGAGAGAGGAGGGAGGGGGACAGGAGUGAGCGUGAGAGGAAGGAGGGGGAGAGGAGGGAAGAGGGAGAGGAGUGAGCAUGAGAGGAGGGAGAGGGAGAGGACUGAGCGUGAGAGGAGGGAGGGGGAGAGAAGAGAAAAGAGGGAGCAAAGGGGACAGGAGAGAGGAGGGGGGGAGCGGAGGGAGCUCACCCGCUGUGGGUGGGGCAGGUUGUGGAAAUCAGCCCCAUGACAACAGUAAGCUCAGCCAGGACUGGGAUUCAGGAUGUUUUAUUUUCAUGCUUUAUGUGGUUUUCAUGUUCUCCCUGAGACAUAAGCAUCACUUACAAUCAGAAAAGAUCCCUGAUGAAAGUGCAUGAAGGAACACAAAGCAGGCGACUGCACGUCUAUGAACACGCUCACGAUUUCCUGUGAAGCAGAGGCACCUCUGGGCCCCACCCAGGCCUGGGACCGCCCUGAGCCUGAGCCCCUCACACAGUGCGGCCCCAGCCCUGCCUCGGAGAAGCCCAGGCCAGGAUGAAGCCUGGGACCGGGGGAGGAGUCGGACCGCGGCCCUGGAGCUCAGGAUGCUGCAGCCUGGGGUGUCGGCGUUAUUCCCACGCAUCUCCACAGCUCCCGCCGCACCCACCCCGCGGACCUGCUGGCGGAGCCGGUGGUAUACUGUGAACUGACUUAUGAAACCACCUCUGCAAGGCAAAACAGGCCAUUGGCCACUGGGCCCCGUGAACCUGUCCCUGGGCGUCCGCAUCUCUUCCAUCUUACAGACCGUGUGUCAGCCACCUGCUGCUGUGUGCCUGUGGUGGGACCCUCACUGCAGGGAAUGCUGCAUUCUUGGUGUUUGCUUACACAACGUGUUCCUAUUUCCUUUCCCAAAUCUGCAAGCACUCCUUGCAGAUAAAACAGCUCAGACUGGGAGAGGCCAAGAGAACACGGAGGUCCUGAAGCCCCCUGUGCUUGAGUCAGGAGCCCAGAGGCUGGUGCCACAGCUCCAAGCAGGCAGCACCAAACCUCAGCACCCACAGCCACAGUGUGGAUGACAUCAGUGGCAGGUAAAUUGACUGUACAGUAAGUGUACAAGGCCAGGCACGGUGGCUCAUGCCUGUAAUCCCAGCACUUUCGGAGGCCGAGGCAGGAGGACCACUUGAGUCCAGGAGUUCGAGACCAGCCUGGGCAACAUCGUGAGACCCCCAUCUCUACAAAACAUACAAAAUUAGCUGGGUAUGGUGGCACAUGCCUGUGAUCCCAGCUACUCGGGAGGCUGAGGUGGAGGGAUCACCUGAACCCAGGAGACUGAGGCUGCAGUGAGCUGUGAUGAGGCCACUACGUUCCAGCCUGGAUGACAGAGAGGCGGUUGGUGGGAAGAGGCGAGUGAGCCUGCCCGUGCGUCCCGCAUGGAGACGUCUGGAUUGGAAACUACCGAAAGAUGUUUCAAGGAACUCUCCCUGGGUGACACGCUGGUUUUCAGACGUUUGAUUCAGCUGCUGCAGUUUCCUCCUCCCUGACACGGGAACUGAACUGCAGGCCGCGGCGAGCCAGCCAGGGAAACCGCCUUCUCCCUGGGCUCGGAGCUGCUGCCGGUUCUGGAGGGAGAGACCCCAGCAAGGAGGUGGUGACUCAUGGGCCGCUCCUCCCCGCCCCGCCCCGCCCCUCC